AAGUCACCUGGAUGAAUCUCCAGAGAAUUAUGCUGAGUGAAAAGAGCCAAGCCCAAAGAUGACAUACUGUUCUAUUCCAUUUAUAUAACGUUUGUGAAAUGCUCUGCCUAUGCUGGACUUGAAGCUUUCUGUCUGUCAAAAAAUAAAAGAAGAUGGAAGGAAGGAUGUACUGAAGGAAGAAAAAAAAAAAAAGAACCUGUGACUAUGAAGCAACACCCAAAGCCACUGUCAGAUGUCAUGGAGAUGAGACCUCACAAGAAGGCCAGAAAACAACAGACUAACUCCGGAUAUGACAAACUCUUUAUAAAUACUUAUAAGUACUGUUGGCUACAAUAGUUCUAAAGCCUUAACAAAUGAUGUUGAAGCAAAAUGAAUAAUGAUUAUUCCUAU
rnacentral:lncRNA from 1 species